rnacentral:misc_RNA from 1 species
CCGACAACUACAGACAAGGAGACCAGAGUUCUGUUCCACACAGGAGGAGUAUUCCCUAGUGUAUUCAACGUUACAGGAUUACAUUGAAACAACAACGGAGAAUGUUUACAGCAAUCAAUAGAAAGACAUGUGUCGGUUCUGUGAGAAUUGCAAUGGCAUUAAAAAAAAUGAACAAUCUGGAAAAUUCAGAUCAAGAAUACUCAAUGUAAAAUUGUUUUAAUUUCAUUUACUGGAAAGGAAAAUUGUUUCUAUGCAUGUAUUGCCAGAGACCCCUAUCUGUAAGAAUUAUAUAAUUUAUGUAAUGUACACCCUGUUCAUUUCCUGUAAAUGCAUCUUGAUUCCUUUAUAAUUACUUUUCUGUACACACGCCAUGUUUUCCCAUGUACUUGUCAUUUUCUGUAAACAUGCACAACAUUAUGCACGACUUCAAAAUUAUAAAGACUAUCUGGGGGAAAUUCGGCUCCUUUCUAAAUUUUGAUUAUACUUGGAAAAAUUCUUGUACUUGGAUUCUAUAAUGAAAAAAGCCAUAAAACACUGCUUUUAAACAAUCUAAUAGCUUUUCUUACCUUGAUUAUGUACAAGAAAUGCAGAAUAAAGAAUGAGAAAAUGUCAGAGAAAAACCUCAUAUUUAUUUUAAAUAGUAAUCUGUGUAUGCAAAGUACUGUUCUGAAGAUCACUGUUUGUGUUAGUAAUUAUAUUUACCACGAUAUGGGUGAUUUUUUGUAGACGCAAAAUGUGUGAUGUAUGAUGAUGAUGUUAUUGAAUUUAAUGAAAAUGCCAAAAAACGAUUAAUUGUAUAAUAUGGUUAAUAUAAUGAUGAUUAUGUGAAUGAACUUAAUUUUAAUAAAAGAGAGAGAAAACAC